GACGAACGCUGGCGGCGUGCUUAACACAUGCAAGUCGAGCGGUGGAACGCCUUCCUUGUUUGUGGGUUUGGAUGGGUGGCGGACGGGGGAGUAACACGUUAGUCACCUUCCCCCUUCGGCUGGAUAACCGCAUGAAGGUGUGGAUAAUACAGGAUAUUCUGGUUCUGUCGCUUGAUGGGUCUGGGAAAGUUUUUGUUUCGGUGGGGGAUGGGCUCGCGGCCUAUCGGCUUGUUGGUGGGGUGAUGGCCUACCAAGGCAGUGACGGGUAGCCGGCCUGAGAGGGUGGACGGCAACGCUGCGAAUGAGCGACGGACAAGACUACGACGGGAGGCAGUAGUGGGGAAUACGGAAUAAUGGGCGGAAGGAUGAUGCAGCGACGCGGCGGGAGGGAAGGUGGUCUUAGCGUUGAGCACUGCUAUCGCGAGUGAAGCAGGCCUUACUUGUCUGUGCGCGGCUUGACGGUAGCUGGAUAGAAAGCCACGGCUAACUACGUG
rnacentral:rRNA from 1 species